GACGAACGCUGGCGGCGUGCUUAACACAUGCAAGUCGAACGGAAAGGCCUCUUUCGGGGGGUACUCGAGUGGCGAACGGGUGAGUAACACGUGAGUAACCUGCCCUUGACUUUGGGAUAACUUCAGGAAACUGGGGCUAAUACCGGAUAGGAGCUCCUGCUGCAUGGGGGGGGGUGGAAAGUUUCGGCGGUUGGGGAUGGACUCGCGGCUUAUCAGCUUGUUGGUGGGGGAGUGGCUUACCAAGGCUUUGACGGGUAGCCGGCCUGAGAGGGUGACCGGCCACAUUGGGACUGAGAGACGGCCCAGACUCCUACGGGAGGCAGCAGUGGGGAAUAUUGCACAAUGGGUGGAAGCCUGAUGCAGCAACGCCGUGUGCGGGAUGACGGCCUUCGGGUUGUAAACCGCUUUCGCUCAUGACGAAGCUUUGUGUGACGGUAGUGGGUAAAGAAGCACCGGCUAACUACGUG
rnacentral:rRNA from 1 species